UGUCACCAAGGCUAAAGUUACCUGGCGGUGU
rnacentral:piRNA from 1 species